rnacentral:rRNA from 1 species
AUACGGAGGAUCCGAGCGUUAUCUGGAUUUAUUGGGUUUAAAGGGUGCGCAGGCGGGAGAUUAAGUCGGCGGUGAAAUUUUGCAGCUCAACUGUAAAAGUGCCUUCGAAACUGGUUUCCUUGAGUGUAGAUGAAGUAGGCGGAAUUUGUGGUGUAGCGGUGAAAUGCAUAGAUAUCACGAGGAACUCCGAUUGCGCAGGCAGCUUACUAAACUACUACUGACGCUCAGGCACGAAGGCGUGGGGAUCAAACAGGAUUAGAUACCCUGGUAGUCCACGCAGUAAACGAUGAUUACUAGCUGUUUGCGAUACAAUGUAAGCGGCUGAGCGAAAGCGUUAAGUAAUCCACCUGGGGAGUACGUUCGCAAGAAUGAAACUCAAAGGAAUUGACGGGU